ACUGAACGCUGGCGGCAUGCCUUACACAUGCAAGUCGAACGGCAGCACGGGAGCAAUCCUGGUGGCGAGUGGCGAACGGGUGAGUAAUAUAUCGGAACGUGCCCGGUCGUGGGGGAUAACGCAGCGAAAGCUACGCUAAUACCGCAUACGAUCUACGGAUGAAAGCGGGGGAUCGCAAGACCUCGCGCGAUUGGAGCGGCCGAUAUCAGAUUAGGUAGUUGGUGAGGUAAAGGCUCACCAAGCCGACGAUCUGUAGCUGGUCUGAGAGGACGACCAGCCACACUGGGACUGAGACACGGCCCAGACUCCUACGGGAGGCAGCAGUGGGGAAUUUUGGACAAUGGGCACAAGCCUGAUCCAGCAAUGCCGCGUGCAGGAUGAAGGCCUUCGGGUUGUAAACUGCUUUUGUACGGAACGAAACGGUGAGCUCUAAUACAGUUUGCUAAUGACGGUACCGUAAGAAUAAGCACCGGCUAACUACGUG
rnacentral:rRNA from 1 species